UAGUCUACAUUUCUUUGUCUACAUUAACUAUUUCAAAUCCUCUUCUUUCAAGAAAAAUCCCUAUCUGACAUUUUUCACGGAAUCGGUCAUGAAAGGAUCAGUGGAUGGAGUUUAGAAGAGUCAAUGUUUCCUGUGGAAGCAUGUGGAAAAACAAUGUGCUGCCUGUAAACAUUUCCUGCACACUCAGCAUGGCGUGUAAACACAGACAUUGGAUUUCUGACCUUAAAGGAACACGCCAAAAAAAUGAUACUCUGUGUCAUACUUACUGCUGGCCCUAAAGCGGGUGUAUGAUGUCUAUUUACUAUGUGCUUUGGAUCGGUGAGUCAUGCACUGCCCUCCGGUCCUACAAUAGAGAUAAUAUACCGUACUGCAUUGGUUUUGCCAGGAAUGUUUCUUGAACAGAAGUCCUGUUCAUACAGCGCAGAUGAAUCACACUAUUAUCAGGACACUGCAUAUAAAUAAUUUGGGAAGGAAUCUUUUAAUGAUGAUGACCCAUUAACCUAUUUCCAAAUUAAAGGAUUGAGACAUGAGUCAACAUAUAUGAGGUACCGUACCUUAUAACUAAAGGAUUACUCAAGAAUUUGGAUCAAGGAAGUUUGAAUAUUUGCAACCUAAUGUAGAAUGUAUGGAAAAUGUCUGUUUUAGACAACCGCGCCUAACAGACACUUCUGCCGGGUUCUGGCUGGAUGUGGCCACUUCCAUUCGGGACAUGCAGGUUAGUAACAACUACAGAUUAGCUGAAAUGACCAG